UAGUGGAUCAGCAUGUUGUAGAAGUCUUGGCUGGUGUCCAGACAGCACGAUCCACACACAACGGCCGGCCCCGGAGCCCUCUGAUCCUCCAUCCUCUGCCGCUGAGCCUCCGCGAUCAGAUCCAGCAGCUCCUCGGUCUGAGAGUGGGACACCUCCUUCACACUCCUUCUAGCCUACCAGCAGAGCAGCAAGGAGAGGUCAGAGCACCAGGAGAACAGCAAGGAGAGAGGAGAGAGCACCAGGAGAACAGCAAGGAGAGAGGAGAGAGCACCAGGAGAACAGCAAGGAGAGAGGAGAGAGCACCAGGAGAACCACAAUGAGAGGUCAGAGCACCAGGAGAACCACAAGGAGAGAGGAGAGACAACUAGGAGCAGAACAAGGAGAGACGAGAGAGGAGAGACCAGUAAGAGCAGGACAACAAGGAGAGAGGACAAACCACCAGGAUCAGAACAAGGAGAGAGGAG
ensembl:lncRNA